rnacentral:rRNA from 1 species
AGAGUUUGAUCCUGGCUCAGGACGAACGCUGGCGGCGCGCCUAACACAUGCAAGUCGAACGGAGAAUAAUUUAUUAUUCUUAGUGGCGGACGGGUGAGUAACGCGUGAGCAACCUGCCCUUUUGAGGGGGAUAACGUUUGGAAACGAACGCUAAUACCGCAUGAAACAGCAGUGGGGAAUCCCACAACUGUCAAAGGAGAAAUCCGCAAAAGGAUGGGCUCGCGUCUGAUUAGAUAGUUGGUGAGGUAAUGGCCCACCAAGUCUGCGAUCAGUAGCCGGACUGAGAGGUUGAACGGCCACAUUGGGACUGAGACACGGCCCAGACUCCUACGGGAGGCAGCAGUGGGGGAUAUUGCACAAUGGAGGAAACUCUGAUGCAGCGACGUCGCGUGAGGGAAGAAGGUCUUCGGAUUGUAAACCUUUGUCUUCGGGGAAGAAACAAAUGACGGUACCCGAGGAGGAAGCCACGGCUAACUACGUGCCAGCAGCCGCGGUAAUACGUAGGUGGCAAGCGUUGUCCGGAAUUAUUGGGUGUAAAGGGUGCGUAGGCGGGAAUAUAAGUCGGAUGUGAAAUGCCCGGGCUCAACUCGGGAGCUGCAUUCGAAACUAUAUUUCUUGAGUGAAGUAGAGGCAAGCGGAAUUCCUAGUGUAGCGGUGAAAUGCGUAGAUAUUAGGAGGAACACCAGUGGCGAAUGCGGCUUGCUGGGCUUUUACUGACGCUGAGGCACG